AUGAACGCUGGCGGCGUGCUUAACACAUGCAAGUCGAACGAGAAGUGAAGACGGAAACCUUCGGGCGGAAGGCUUUAUUUCGAGUGGCGGACGGGUGAGUAACGCGUGGGUAACCUGCCUCAUACAGGGGGAUAACAGUUGGAAACGACUGUUAAUACCGCAUAAGACCACAGCACCGCAUGGUGCGGGGGUAAAAACUCCGGUGGUAUGAGAUGGACCCGCGUUCGAUUAGCCAGUUGGCGGGGUAACGGCCCACCAAAGCGACGAUCGAUAGCCGAUCUGAGAGGGUGACCGGCCACAUUGGGACUGAGACACGGCCCAAACUCCUACGGGAGGCAGCAGUGGGGAAUAUUGCACAAUGGGGGAAACCCUGAUGCAGCGACGCCGCGUGAGUGAAGAAGUAUUUCGGUAUGUAAAGCUCUAUCAGCAGGGAAGAAAAUGACGGUACCUGAGUAAGAAGCCCCGGCUAACUACGUG
rnacentral:rRNA from 1 species